UCAACGUCGUUGUUGUUGUCGCUUGUAAAAGUGUCAGUUUUUCUGCUCGCUGGAAUUCGAUUUGCAAGGAUUAGUUUUUAAAAUUUUUUUUUGUGGACUGAAAAGCAGAGCAGCAGAAAAAUAUCGGUUGUUGAGAAAAAUGUACGUUCUGUCACAUCCACCCCACUUGAAAAACAUGCAAUAGGAGCAACAACUUAAUUCGACAAAUUAGUGGCGCAGUAUACACACUCAAACACACACUCUGUUACACUUACACAACUCGCAACUCCUAACUUUCAACUCGCAACUCCUAACUCGUAACUCGUAACUCGCAACUCCACCGAGUUCAUUUAUCUAAGUUAACAGACAAGUGCAGAAAAAAUAUACAAUUCAAUUAAUAUAGUCGGAAAGUGGUAAGUGGUAAGUGGUAAGUGACAAGACAAAGGAAAGGAAGGAAGGAAGGACAUUUUAAUAGAGUCUAAAAAUAAUUUGCUUACGCGUCGAGUCAAUUUAAUUAAAUCAGUUUCGGAAAGUUUAUAAACAUAACAAAAUACCAACGAAGUUAUGAGUUGUGUGUACUGAAAAAGCGCUGACUUCAUCGUCCACAUGGUGGACAAGUUUCAAAGACGUACACUUUUGACAACACCAACAACACCCUCAGCUACUCCUAAAGCAUGAUAAAGUAGAGGGAACGGAUUUACACUGCAGGACAUUUUA